UUGAGCGGGGGACAACAUUUGGAAACGAAUGCUAAUACCGCAUAACAACUUUAAACAUAAGUUUUAAGUUUGAAAGAUGCAAUUGCAUCACUCAAAGAUGAUCCCGCGUUGUAUUAGCUAGUUGGUGAGGUAAAGGCUCACCAAGGCGAUGAUACAUAGCCGACCUGAGAGGGUGAUCGGCCACAUUGGGACUGAGACACGGCCCAAACUCCUACGGGAGGCAGCAGUAGGGAAUCUUCGGCAAUGGACGAAAGUCUGACCGAGCAACGCCGCGUGAGUGAAGAAGGUUUUCGGAUCGUAAAACUCUGUUGGUAGAGAAGAACGUUGGUGAGAGUGGAAAGCUCAUCAAGUGACGGUAACUACCCAGAAAGGGACGGCUAACUACGUGCCAGCAGCCGCGGUAAUACGUAGGUCCCGAGCGUUGUCCGGAUUUAUUGGGCGUAAAGCGAGCGCAGGUGGUUUAUUAAGUCUGGUGUAAAAGGCAG
rnacentral:rRNA from 1 species